CUCCGCCGUGACCCGCCGCCUCCUGCCCCUCGGUCAGCCACCUCAGCCCCCUUGGAAACUGAACGCCGGGAGGUCCUCUUUUGUCUCUGUAUCUCUAGCAACUAGCUCGGUAUCUUGUGCAUAGCAGGUGCUUCAGAAAAGCUUGUUGAAUUGAUGGAUCUUGAGAACAGUGGUAUUCAGGAAGGUGGUGCUGGGAAGGAGAAGAAGGAUGGGAUGAGAUCCUCAUGCCUCCUAAAAGAGAAGAAAACACAAGAAGACCAGAAGUAAUCCCAGAAAAGCUCAAUAGCAUUGAAGGUUGCAACUUGAUCCUAUUAUAUACUUUAAAAAAAAAAACCAGACUGUAUGUAAGAGACUUGCAGCUUCAUGUACAAUUCUCUUUUUCUGUUCUACUAUGUA